rnacentral:misc_RNA from 1 species
GAUGAAGAACGUAGCGAAAUGCGAUACGUAAUGUGAAUUGCAAAUUCAGUGAAUCAUCGAGUCUUUGAACGCACAUUGCGCCCCCUGGUAUUCCGGGGGGCAUGCCUGUCCGAGCGUCAUUGCUGCCCUCAAGCACGGCUUGUGUGUUGGGCCCCGUCCUCCGAUCCCGGGGGACGGGCCCGAAAGGCAGCGGCGGCACCGCGUCCGGUCCUCGAGCGUAUGGGGCUUUGUCACCCGCUCUGUAGGCCCGGCCGGCGCUUGCCGAUCAACCCAAAUUUUUAUCCAGGUUCACCUCGGAUCAGGUAGGGAUACCCGCUGAACUUAAGCAUAUCAAUAAGCGGAGGA